GAUGAACGCUGGCGGCAUGCCUAAUACAUGCAAGUCGAGCGAACAGACGAGGAGCUUGCUCCUCUGACGUUAGCGGCGGACGGGUGAGUAACACGUGGAUAACCUACCUAUAAGACUGGGAUAACUUCGGGAAACCGGAGCUAAUACCGGAUAAUAUAUUGAACCGCAUGGUUCAAUAGUGAAAGACGGUUUUGCUGUCACUUAUAGAUGGAUCCGCGCCGCAUUAGCUAGUUGGUAAGGUAACGGCUUACCAAGGCAACGAUGCGUAGCCGACCUGAGAGGGGGACCGGCCACACUGGAACUGAGACACGGUCCAGACUCCUACGGGAGGCAGCAGUAGGGAAUCUUCCGCAAUGGGCGAAAGCCUGACGGAGCAACGCCGCGUGAGUGAUGAAGGUCUUCGGAUCGUAAAACUCUGUUAUUAGGGAAGAACAAAUGUGUAAGUAACUAUGCACGUCUUGACGGUACCUAAUCAGAAAGCCACGGCUAACUACGUG
rnacentral:rRNA from 1 species